CUUUAUCAGACAUGUCAGGGUUAUUCAACUUCCAGUGAGGUCAUAGUAUUUUUGAUGACCAUUCACUAACAGGCAUGUCAGGGUUAUUCAAUUUUCCGUAAGGUCAUAGCAUUUUUGAUAACCAAUCACUAUCAGGAAUGUCAGGGUUAUUCAAUUUCCCAUGAGUUCAUAGUAUUUUUGAGGACCAAUUACUAUAAGGCAUGUCAGGGUUAUUCAAUUUCCUAUGAGGUCAUAGUAAUGAGGUCAUAGUAUUUUGGAGGACCAAUAUCUAUCAGACAUGUAAGGGUUAUUCAAUUUCCCAUGACGUCAUAGUAUAUUUGAGGG
rnacentral:lncRNA from 1 species